UGGGGAAUAUUGGGCAAUGGGCGCAAGCCUGACCCAGCAACGCCGCGUGAAGGAUGAAGGUUUUCGGAUCGUAAACUUCUUUGAUCGGGGACGAAAUUGACGGUACCCGAGGAACAAGCAACGGCUAACUACGUGCCAGCAGCCGCGGUAAUACGAAGGUGGCAAGCGUUAUCCGGAAUUAAUGGGCGUAAAGGGCGUGUAGGCGGGAAGACAAGGCGGGAGUUAAUGCCCAGGGCUUAACCCUGGAGCUGCUUCCGAAACUGUCUGUCUGGAGUGUCGGAGAG
rnacentral:rRNA from 1 species